AACGAACGCGGGCGGCAUGCCUAACACAUGCAAGUCGAACGAGACCUUCGGGUCUAGUGGCGCACGGGUGCGUAACGCGUGGGAACCUGCCCUUAGGUUCGGAAUAACUCCCCGAAAGGGGUGCUAAUACCGGAUAAUGUCUUCGGACCAAAGAUUUAUCGCCUUUGGAUGGGCCCGCGUUGGAUUAGCUAGUUGGUAGGGUAAAAGCCUACCAAGGCGACGAUCCAUAGCUGGUCUGAGAGGAUGAUCAGCCACACUGGGACUGAGACACGGCCCAGACUCCUACGGGAGGCAGCAGUGGGGAAUAUGGGACAAUGGGCGAAAGCCUGAUCCAGCAAUGCCGCGUGCGUGAUGAAGGCCUUAGGGUUGUAAAGCUCUUUUACCCGGGAUGAUAAUGACCGUACCGGGAGCAGAAGCGCCGGCUCCCUCCCU
rnacentral:rRNA from 1 species